rnacentral:rRNA from 1 species
GUGCCAGCAGCCGCGGUAAGACAGAGGGUGCUAGCGUUGUUCGGAAUUACUGGGCGUAAAGGGCGCGUAGGCGGUCCGUUAAGUUCGGUGUGAAAGCCCCUGGCUCAACUGGGGAACUGCGCUGGAAACUGGCGGACUCGAGUACCGGAGAGGAGAGUGGAAUUCCUGGUGUAGCGGUGAAAUGCGUAGAUAUCAGGAGGAACACCGGUGGCGAAGGCGGCUCUCUGGACGGAUACUGACGCUGAGGCGCGAAAGCGUGGGGAUCAAACAGGAUUAGAUACCCUGGUAGUCC